rnacentral:rRNA from 1 species
AUUGAACGCUGGCGGCAGGCUUAACACAUGCAAGUCGAGCGGAGUGAUGGUGCUUGCACUAUCACUUAGCGGCGGACGGGUGAGUAAUGCUUAGGAAUCUGCCAUUUAGUGGGGGACAACAUUCCGAAAGGAAUGCUAAUACCGCAUACGUCCUACGGGAGAAAGCAGGGGAUCUUCGGACCUUGCGCUAAAUGAUGAGCCUAAGUCGGAUUAGCUAGUUGGUGGGGUAAAGGCCUACCGAGGCGACGAUCUGUAGCGGGCCUGAGAGGAUGAUCCGACACACUGGGACUGAGACACGGCCCAGACUCCUACGGGAGGCAGCAGUGGGGAAUAUUGGACAAUGGGCGGAAGCCUGAUCCAGCCAUGCCGCGUGUGUGAAGAAGGCCUUUUGGUUGUAAAGCACUUUAAGCGAGGAGGAGGCUCUCCUAGUUAAUACCUAGGAAGAGUGGACGUUACUCGCAGAAUAAGCACCGGCUAACUCUGUGCCAGCCGCCGCCGUAACAC